ACCUUAUUUACUGUAUUCAUCAAAUUGAUCUCUAGGGCAAAUUAUUUCACCUCCUGAGGACAGACACACAUCUGUCAACAGGCAGCACCAUGUUUAUGUUCCAAUUGGCUAGAAACACACUGAUGUUUAAUGAAGUCUGAGUUGCCACAAAAGGCAUUUCCAUAGUCACGGCACUAGUAGGGUUUUCUUCUGCAUGAGUUCACUUAUAAGGAAGGAGCUGUGACUCUCCAUUACAGGAGUUUUCAACUUGACUGAUUCUACCCAUUUCUCUUGUGUGCAUUUUCUUAUGUUUGACAAGGUUUGAUAAGUGGGAGAAGGCUUUCUCACAAUCACUGCAUCCAUACGGCCUCUCUCCUGUAUGCGUUCUUUGAUGUACAUUGAGUACUGACUUUGUGGUGAAGGCUUUUCCACAUUCAUUGCACUCAUAAGGUUUCUCUCCUGUGUGAAUUCUCUGAUGGGUAAUGAGGCCAUAUUUGUGUGAAUAGGAUUUUCCGCACUCGGUACAUACAAAGGGAGUCUUUCCUGUAUGACAUCUCUCAUGUUGUAUGAGGCAUAUUUUCUGGCUGAAGGCUUUACCACAUUCAUUGCAUUCAUAGGGUUUUUCUCCUGUAUGAGUUCGCUGAUGUAUAAUAAGAGUGCGCUUUGUGGUGAAGCCUUUACCACAUUCAUUGCAUAUGUAAGAUUUCUCUCCUGUAUGAGUUCGCUGAUGUAUAACGAGAGUGCGUUUGACAGUGAAGCCUUUUCCACAUUCGCUGCAUAUGUAAGAUUUUUCUCCUGUGUGGGAGCGCUGAUGUACAAUGAGAUUGCUCUUCACGGUAAAGCCUUUUCCACAUUCACUGCACAUAUAGGGUUUCUCUCCAGUAUGAGUUCGCUGAUGUACAACAAGAUAGCGCUUCAUGGUGAAGCCUUUUCCACAUUCACUGCAUAUAUAGGGUUUCUCCCCUGUAUGAGUUCGCUGAUGUACAAUGAGAUUGCUCUUCACAGUGAAACCUUUUCCACAUUCACUGCAUAUGUAGGGUUUCUCUCCUGUAUGAGUUCGUUGAUGUUCGAUCAUACGGCUCUUCAUGGUGAAGCCUUUCCCACAUUCAUUGCAUAUAUAUGGUUUCUCUCCUGU
rnacentral:lncRNA from 1 species